rnacentral:rRNA from 1 species
CAGUAGCCGCGGGAAUACGUAGGUGGCAAGCGUUGUCCGGAAUUAUUGGGCGUAAAGGGCUCGCAGGCGGUUUCUUAAGUCUGAUGUGAAAGCCCCCGGCUCAACCGGGGAGGGUCAUUGGAAACUGGGAAACUUGAGUGCAGAAGAGGAGAGUGGAAUUCCACGUGUAGCGGUGAAAUGCGUAGAUAUAUGGAGGAACACCGGUGGCGAAAGCGGCUCUCUGGCUUGUAACUGACGCUAAGGAGCGAAAGCGUGGGGAGCGAACAGGAUUAGAUACCCCAGUAGUCCCUGUCUCUUAUAC